rnacentral:rRNA from 1 species
GGCGAACGCUGGCGGCGUGCUUAACACAUGCAAGUCGAACGGAAAGGCCCUGCUUUUGUGGGGUGCUCGAGUGGCGAACGGGUGAGUAACACGUGAGUAACCUGCCCUUGACUUUGGGAUAACUUCAGGAAACUGGGGCUAAUACCGGAUAGGAGCUCCUGCUGCAUGGUGGGGGUUGGAAAGUUUCGGCGGUUGGGGAUGGACUCGCGGCUUAUCAGCUUGUUGGUGGGGUAGUGGCUUACCAAGGCUUUGACGGGUAGCCGGCCUGAGAGGGUGACCGGCCAAAUUGGGACUGAGAUACGGCCCAGACUCCUACGGGAGGCAGCAGUGGGGAAUAUUGCACAAGGGGCGGAAGGAUGAUGCAGCAACGCCGCGUGGGGGAUGACGGCAUUCGGGUUGUAUACCGCUUUCGCCUGUGACGAAGCGUGAGUGACGGUAAUGGGUAAAGAAGCACCGGCUAACUACGUG